UGCCUUUCUUGUGCAUUUUAUCUUGCAGAUCUUUUAGGAGGAAUCCUGAGCGGUGCAAACACAUUCAUAACUGGAGCUGGAAGUUUCUUUGGAAAUAUUGGCACAAAUGCUCUUGGUGCAGUUACAAGUGGAGUCAGUGAUGCCAUUCAUGGAAAACGUGGAAAGAAGGGAUACGUACAUGACCGUAGCCAAGGCAAAAAGAAGGGUGGUGGACUUCUUGGUGGUCUUCUUGGUGGUUAAGAAAAUAUAGCCCAAAACUAUAGAGGAAAUAACAAAAUAUGGAUAAUAAAACUGGACUCAGAUUUUCUUAGACUAUGCUCGAAGACAACUAACAGUUCUUCGAAAAAAUUUUUUAGCUAAUUUUUGUACUUAACCAUACGUAAAUAUCAAUAAAAGUAUAUUAGUUGCAUGUAUUUA